rnacentral:rRNA from 1 species
GAUCCUGGCUCAGGAUGAACGCUGGCGGCGUGCUUAACACAUGCAAGGUCGAACGGAGUUUAGAUGAAAGCUUGCUUUGACUAAACUAGUGGCGGACGGGUGAGUAACGCGUGGGUAACCUGCCUUAUACAGGGGGAUAACAGUCGGAAACGACUGCUAAUACCGCAUAAGCGCACGGAAUCGCAUGAUUCAGUGUGAAAAGAUUUAUCGGUAUAAGAUGGACCCGCGUCUGAUUAGCUAGUUGGUGAGGUAACGGCCCACCAAGGCGACGAUCAGUAGCCGGCCUGAGAGGGUGAACGGCCACAUUGGGACUGAGACACGGCCCAAACUCCUACGGGAGGCAGCAGUGGGGAAUAUUGCACAAUGGGGGAAACCCUGAUGCAAGCGACGCCGCGUGAGUGAAGAAGUAUUUCGGUAUGUAAAGCUCUAUCAGCAGGGAAGAAAAUGACGGUACCUGACUAAGAAGCCCCGGCUAACUACGUGCCAGCAGCUGC